rnacentral:rRNA from 1 species
GCAGUAGCCGCGGUAAUACGGAGGGUGCAAGCGUUAAUCGGAAUUACUGGGCGUAAAGCGCACGCAGGCGGUUUGUUAAGUCAGAUGUGAAAUCCCCGAGCUUAACUUGGGAACUGCAUUUGAAACUGGCAAGCUAGAGUCUUGUAGAGGGGGGUAGAAUUCCAGGUGUAGCGGUGAAAUGCGUAGAGAUCUGGAGGAAUACCGGUGGCGAAGGCGGCCCCCUGGACAAAGACUGACGCUCAGGUGCGAAAGCGUGGGGAGCAAACAGGAUUAGAUACCCCAGUAGUCCCUGUCUCUUAUAC